ensembl:snoRNA
GUGUCUUGAUGAAAUCAGCUAAAUUCCACUAUCAGAAGACCUUCCAGUCUACCUAAUGCAUGAUCUCUGUGGUUUUGAGA